GAACGCUGGCGGCAGGUUUAACACAUGCAAGUCGAGCGGGCGUAGCAAUCAACGUCAAGCGGCAGACGGGUGAGUAACUAGGCGUGGGAAUACGUGUGACCUUCUUGGUUCGGAACAACACAGGGAAACUUGUGCUAAUACCGGAUAAGCCCUUACGGGGAAAGAUUUAUCGCCGAAAGAUCGGCCCGCGUCUGAUAUAGCUAGUUGGUGAGGUAAUGGCUCACCACAGCGCGACGAUCAGUAGCUGGUCUGAGAGGAUGAUCAGCCACAUUGGGACUGAGACACGGCCCAAACUCCUACGGGAGGCAGCGGUGGGGAAUAUUGAACAAGGGGCGCAGUCUUAACCCAGCCUUGCCGCUGGAUGGAGGAAGGCCCUUAGGGUUGUAAAGCUUCUUUUGUCCGGAAGAAAAAAAUGACAGUAACGCCAAGAAUUAGCCCCCGCUAACUUCCGUGCCAGCAGCCCGGCGUAAUACGAAGGGGGCUAGCGUUGCUUGGAAAUCACGGGCGCUAAAGGGUGCGUUAGGCGGGGGUCUUUAAGUCAGGGGGUGAAAUCCUGGAGUCUCAACUCCAGAACUGCCUUUGAUACUGAGGAUCUUUUGAGUUCGGGAGAGGUGAGUGGAACUAGCGAGUAGUAGAGGUGUAAAUUCGUAGAUAAUUUUCCGCAAGAACACCAGUGGCGAAGGCGGCUCAUCUGGCCCGAUAAUUUCUGACGCUGAGAGCACGAAAGCGUGUGGGAGCAAACAUCCUUAGAUAUAUCUCCUGGUAGUCCACGCACCCGUAAACGACGGGUCUAGCACAGCCCCGUUAGUGGGUGUUACUACACUAGUAUGGGCCGCAGCUUCAUACGUCUUUAAGCAUAUCUCGCCGCUCGGGAGAGUACGGUCUGCAAGCCCCAUUAAAACUCAAUAGGAAUUGACGGGGGCCCGCACAAGCGGUGGAGCAUGUGGUUUAAUUCGACGCAACGCGCAGAACCUUACCAGCCCUUGACAUCCCGGUCGCGGACUCCAGAGAUGGAGUUCUUCAGUUCGGCUGGACCGGAGACAGGUGCUGCAUGGCUGUCGUCAGCUCGUGUCGUGAGAUGUUGGGUUAAGUCCCGCAAC
rnacentral:rRNA from 1 species